AGCAGCCGCGGUAAUUCCAGCUCCAAUAGCGUAUAUUAAAGUUGUUGCAGUUAAAAAGCUCGUAGUUGAAUUUCGGAACCAAUAUGUCGGUCGUGCCUCGGUACGUACUGGUGUCAUUGGUUUCUCCCUUCUGAGGAUCCUUGAUGUCAUUAAUUUGGUGUCUUGGGGAAUCAGGACUGUUACCUUGAAAAAAUUAAAGUGUUUAAAAGCAGGCAUACGCUUGAAUACAUUAGCAUGGAAUAAUGAAAUAGGACGUUCGAAUUCUAUUUUGUGGUUUCUAGGAUCGACGUAAUGAUUAAUAGGGAUAGUUGGGGGCAUUAGUAUUCAAUUGUCAGAGGUGAAAUUCUUGGAUUUAUUGAAGACUAACUACUGCGGAAGCAUUUGCCAAGGAUGUUUUCAUUAAUCAAGAACGAAAGUUAGGGAUCGAAGACGAUCAGAUACCGUCGUAGUCUUAACCAUAAACUAUGCCGACUAGGGAUCGGAUGAUGUAUUUUUANGACUUCAUUCGCGCCUUACGGGA
rnacentral:rRNA from 1 species